GUACACCAAUCGACUCAACUUGUGAUCUAAGCCUCUCGUCAUUGAACCUUGCCGUUCUCCGGUAUUCCUCGUCUUCUAUUUGGGGGCAGAAAACAGAUAUUUGUGUGGGAGAAGCAGAAGCUAAUUGGGCUUGCCCAUGGCUUAGCUUCUUUCGGGCUUUCGGCAGGAGAGUCUUGUUAUGCUUGAUUGUAACAAUGUUUUAUUUAUUUUCUUAUUUUGGCGAAAUGCAACCGAAGAUGCUUUUGUGGAUUUACAUGAUUACAAGAAAGGGAGAAUGUAUAUGUAGCUUAGAGAUUAAACAUGACCGAACAAUGUUGCCUCCUAAAAAAAAAGGGAAAACAAAUGGGAUGAGGCGGAUACCAGCAGACAUAUGUACAGCACUACUUAAAAGUUCAUUCGCAC
rnacentral:lncRNA from 1 species